CUUCGGUCCUACACUGAACAUCCCGUGCAGCAAAGUCGAAAACGCCGUUACAACCUCUUCCACAAUGCAACUGAAACACGUCUUCCUCCUCCUUGUCGUCGCUGUUGCUGCCGCUAGUGCAUAUAGAACGGUCGGUUCCAGUAACAGAUAUCCAUAUGGUCGCUAUGGUUAUGGCUAUGAGAUUGAGUUCCCUGACUUCCCCGAUUUCGAGUACCCCCUGUACAUGCUGGGACGAGGUGGUCGACGUGGAGGACGUGGAGGACGCAGGUCACAAAACACUUACAACACAUUCGCCAGACUCGCUACACUGGAUGCUUUAGACUUAAUCUAAGAGAAAACUACUGACUCUACAUCGGCACCGAUACUUGGAAGGAAUCUAUAAUUUAUAUUUUAACUUAUUUGAUAUUUAUUUGUCGAUUAAAGAAUAUUCUAAGAAAUU
rnacentral:lncRNA from 1 species